UGUAAUCUCUAUCUAGAUUACUAACUCAAAACGCCAUUCAAGUCCAUCAUUGUAAUUCCUAUUUGGAUUACUAACUCAAAACGCCAUCCAAGGUCAUCACUAUAAUCCCUCUCUAGAUUACUAUACUCAAAACUAUAAUGUUUAAAACAUUUUAUUUAUUUAUCUCAAAAGGUAAAUUUUAUAUUAUUACCAAUUGUCCUCAAUUACUCAAACUGCUCAAAAUAACUCAAAAAGUCCCAAUGACUUAGAAUUUCUCAAAACUUAUUAUUUUCUCAAAAACUC
rnacentral:lncRNA from 1 species